CAGUGCGGUAAAAUGUGCCACUGCCAAACAACACAGGAUAGGAUCAACAACACAGAAACUAACCCGUAUGGAUGCUCGCUAUCCAUGUAGGCCUGGUCUCCUGUUCACACUCAUAGUUCACGGAGGAAGAACAAUCAAUAUCUGCAAAUUCAAAUGGGAACAGUAAUUCGCACAUGGGCAUGUAUACAUUGAAAACAAUUCACAUGUGAAAAUCUUUACAUCACAACAAUUUACGAGUGGAUAUCCGAAAGUGCCGGGGAUGAGAGACGUCAAAUGAAAUUGCGUGACUGAGGUGUGCCAGAUGAAGGGACGGGGC